UUUUAGUUAGUCUACUAAUAUAAUAUAUAGGCUAAUAUAAUAUUAUUCUUGUUGCCAUUGUUAAUAUGAUUAUCAUUUGUCAAAAAUAAAUUGAUAAAAAUAUCAAGCAGCCAAAAGAAACCACGCGAAAGAUUCAGUUUCGACAGAAAACAAGAUUGAUUGUUUCAGAAAACUGUUUUCCCGCAAUUGCUGUCGAGGGACUUAAAUAACCCAUUUAACAUUGCACGAGGACGGACUCCUCCUGGACCGUUUGCUGCGUCCCUUCUCACACAGAUCACAGAGAGGAAAUCAUCAUCACACGGACUCAGAUGGCCCGAGGCGCUGCGUCGAUGAAAUUGGAUAUUUAAGGCAGCGGAGAAAGCAGUUCACGUUCACUCUCAGCGGGCGCGCGGCCAGAGAGGCAGAGGGUGUAGACGCGCGCUCUGUCACUGCCUAACAAAUAAUAUGAGACUAUAGUGUUGUGAACGAGGCUUCUUAUAACGUGACCGGGAAGAGAACAAGGUACGAAACGCGGAGGCUUUUUGAGGAGGACGGAGGAUGACCGCGAGCGCUCACUUCAGCGCGCGCGUUACCAGUGCGUCAGCUCACAGAAGAGCGCGUGUCACUGAACUCCAGCUGCAGUAAGGCAGCAGAAGCGGGAGAGAUGAAGGUGACCUGUGGCUGGGCCAGGGGCUGCAACACAGGACAUGGGAGCUGCCUCUCACUCCCGCUCGUGUCUUGUGUUGCAGCCAGUGGAACUGCUGCACUGUCAACAUCAGAGAUGGAACCAUCAUUACACCAUCUUACAGUGGCUUCCUGUGAAGUCAUUUCUCUUCUCAGCUUCUUCUGUAAGGAAAACACAGUGCCGAUAAUGAUGUGUAAGUUCCUGAUUACAAGACGCUUAUGUGCAAAUAAACGAUUAUGUGCAAAGGAAAGGCAGAAAAUAA